rnacentral:rRNA from 1 species
GUAGGUGGCAAGCGUUGUCCGGGAAUUAUUGGGGCGUAAAGCGCGCGCAGGCGGUUCUUUAAGUCUGAUGUGAAAGCUCACGGGCUCAACCGUGGAGGGUCAUUGGAAACUGGAGAACUUGAGUACAGAAGAGGAAAGCGGAAUUCCACGUGUAGCGGUGAAAUGCGUAGAGAUGUGGAGGAACACCAGUGGCGAAGGCGGCUUUCUGGUCUGUAACUGACGCUGAGGCGCGAAAGCGUGGGGAGCAAACAGGAUUAGAUACCCUGGUAGUCCACGCCGUAAACGAUGAGUGCUAAGUGUUAGGGGGUUUCCGCCCCUUAGUGCUGCAGCUAACGCAUUAAGCACUCCGCCUGGGGAGUACGGCCGCAAAGGCUG